CUGUAACCAUUCAAUCGGCUUCACCUUUGUCUGUGUAAAGUAGCACAAUAUUUAGCUAAUUAGCUAGCAUAGAUCCAGACAUUCUGGUCAUAAAUAAUGCUAAUGGUUAGUUCAAUGUGGAUCAGAUUGCAGAGAUAAACAACAGCAAACUACUUGGCAAAUGUGAGAAACCACAGCUCCUUCAAAUAAUGACUAAACUACACAUUCUUUCAUACAAUAUAGUUAAAAGGCAGAUCAUAAAAUGACUAUGGCCGUGAUUCAAUUCAAGGGGCUUUAUUGGCAUGGGAUAGCAUAUGCUAAUGUUGCCAAAGCAAGUGAAGUAGAUAAUAUACAGAAGUGAAAUAAACAAUACAAAUGAACAGUAAACAAAAGUUCCAAAAGAAUAAAGACUUUACAAAUGUCAUAUGUUGUAUAUAUACAGUGUUGUAACAAUGUACAAAUGGUUAAAGUACAAAAGGGAAAAUAAUCUGAGUCCAUGUUGGAGCACGCUUGACAUUGAAGGUGUUUUCCAAUUGAGAUGAUAUCUGCAGCAUUUACUUUGAAUACUGCCUUUAAAAGGUGGAUUGUCUAUGUCACUUAACUUCAUAUGAUGCAACAUGUUUCGACCAAAGAACUGGUCUUCUACAGUCACAGUCAAUAAUAUUACCACAGUCUUUUCUCUUUAGUGGUUUCACAACCCCUAGCACCUGGAUGUUACUAAUAAGGGGUGUGGAAAAGCCUGACAUACAGAUGUGAGAUCUUAAUUUGACCACUCUUUGUUGCUGAGAAUGUUCCUGCACAGCAGGAAAUGCACACGUUUGUAUUCAUGGUUUUAAAAAGCUUCUAAAGUUUGUAAUUUUCCCUUUAAAAUAUCAGACUUGAUUUGCCCUAAUGAAAAAUGUAUCAACACAUACAAAACAUGUCCAUUAAUCAUUAAUCCACAUAAUAAUCCACAUUUCUUGUGGCUGCAGGUUUAUUUUCCUGCUGUAGCAAACUCAAAUUAAGAUCCUACAACUGUAGGUCUUGGAUGAUUCACUAACAGCAUUCUAAACUAUGGCUGCGUCCCAAAAUAGCCACUCCCUUACUGAGGCUAUUGACUAGUAGAAUAUAUAGUGCCAGUUAGACACCAUCUAUCUGUUGUGCAAUGUUGUGUUAAUAUUGUUAUUUCUAGAUUUUGACUCAUACCAGAAGUAACUAUAACCAUGUGAAUGUCAGGCUCAAGGAAACAAGUUGAACUAUUGUCUGGUUUUCCCCCAUUCUAACCUCAAGCUCAUGUGCUGUCAUGUCAGGCUUUUCUCACACAUUUGCUCUCCUUAUUCCUCAUAAUCAUUUUCCUUCCUAGUUUCCUUCUCUUCCCCAUGGGCUCUAUGUCUUCCCCUCUCUCUCUCUCUCUCUCCCUAUUUUUCCCUUCUUCCCCCUCUCUCUCUCCUCCCUCCCCCCUAUCCCUCUAUGUCCUGUGGAUGAACUCUCUGCCAGCUCCUCCUACCUGCUCAGCCUUUCCAGGAAUCAAACAGUCAUUUCCCUUAAUAUGAAGGGAUGUGCUUGGCACUGAGCUCCAACAAAAGAGCAAGGAAGGGGGGGGGGAGUGCCAAAUAAUCUUCUCAAGGUAGGUUUAAGACGCACCGGCUUUCAACCAGUCCAAUGUAAAGCUUACACAAACCCCAUCAACCAUCAAAAUCCGCUUUAUAUAUUUCUCCCCUCGACUUCUCUUUCUCUUCCUCUUACGACUCCGGUCGGCCAACAACCUCAAGUCACAGGUGAAUCAGUCUUUACCUGUUUCUACGGGUCAUAUACGCUACUUGUGGUUUCUUCCUAUAAAGAAUUGUAGGGUUGAUUCCUUGGUAUUGUUACUGGACUCCUCAGUUUUGAUACAAAUUUUACUCUGUCACAAUUAGCAGUCAUAAUCAUUUAUGUUAGGUUUCAGGCAUUUAACUUGACACACUCAAGGUUAGGGAUGUACUUUGGGACAGAUCGACAUUUACAAGGGGAGGGGUGGUUCAAAAUAGGGUAAGGUUAUUUAACUUUUUUUUGCUUUGUGGAGGGUUGUGUGUUUUGGGGGGGUUCACAGAGGUGUGUGUUUUUCCCUGGUUUACAUUCUCUUUUCUGCUUGUAGUUUCCCUAUAAACAAUGUAACUGUUUGUUAACCGAUUAAUGAAGGUCAGUUAGUCUACAACAAAAUUGACCAAAAAUGUGGAACCCUACUCAAGAUAGGUACCAAACCUGAAUAGUGGCAUUAUGUUUGCAUGUAGCUGAAACGUCAAAAAGUCAAUCAUUUUCAAUGGAAGAAACCCAGUAUGCAAAAACACUUGCUCUUUUCCGCUUUUCAUUAGACCAGAUAAAUUCCUACCGCCAGCGGUCCAGUGGAGUUUGCCAUUCAAGACUUGAUUUGCAUCUCUGGCGCGUAGCCCCUACUCAUAGGACCGCUAUAAGCCCUUGUCAGGCCACUUUUGCAUCUCUGGUGAUUUGCCUCCACUCAGAGGAUAGCUAUAAGCCAUCGAGCCAUGAGUUAAUUUGAAAGAAAACAAGAAGGAAUUUCUCUCAUGUCAAAUUCGGCCUGCCUCUUUCAAGCUAACCAUAGCCAGCCAGAGGAUGCAAGCUGUUUUUAUUUUUUCUAUGAAUUCCUUACAUUUGUUCUGAUUUUAAUUUGAUUCAAUGUAUUUGCCAAUGUAAAAUACAACCACAUAUGUGGACAUAAUGCAUUUAAAAUCAUUGAGGAUGACACAACAAGUGAUACUGUCAGAGAUCUCAUCCUCCUCUUCUGUGGAGGAGUAGCGAGAAGGAUCGGAGGCCCAAAACGCAGCGUGGUAAGUGUGUCCCCCCCCCCGAAAAAAAACUGAACCUAUAGGGGAUGGGCAUCUGUCCGCGGUGGCGGCUCUGGCUCCGGACGUGGACCCCACUUCACCAUAGUUUUUUUGCGCCUCUUAGCCCGCCUCCGUGGCCUCUUUGGAGAGGCCACCCUUGCUGCCGACCUUGGACUGGGGACACGCCACGGGUCCCAAUGGACGGGAGAUUCCGGCAGCACUGGACGGGCGGGAGACUCCGGCAGCGCCGGACGGGCGGGAGACUCAGGCUGCGACGGAGUGACAGGCGGCUCUGGCAGAUCCUGGCUGACUGACGGCUCUGGCAGCUCCUAGCUGACUGACGGCUCUGGCAGCCCCUGGCUGACUGAGGGCUCAGGACAGACUGGCGGCUCUGGCAGCUCAGGACAGACUGGCGGCUCUGGCAGCUCAGGACAUACUGGCGGCUCUGGCAGCUCAGGACAUACUGGCAGCCCUGGCAGCUCAGGACAGACGGGAGAAUCUGGCAGCUCAGGACAGACGGGAGACUCUGGCAACGCUGGAGAUGAAGGCUCUAAGCAGGGCUGGACAGGCAGGAGCACCUGUAGGGAGAAGACAGAGAGACAGCCUGGUGCAGGGGGCUGCCACCGGAGGGCUGGUACGUGGAGGUGGCACCGGACAGACCGGACCGUGAAGGCGCACUGGAGCUCUUGAGUACCGAGCCUGCCCAACCUUACCUGGUUGAAUGCUCCCCGUAGCCAGGCCAGUGCGGCGAGGUGGAAUAGCCCGCACUGUGCUGUGCUGGCGAACCGGGGACACCAUGCGUAAGGCUGGUGCCAUGUACACCGGCCCGAGGAGACGCACUGGCGACCAGAUGUGCUGAGCCGGCUUCAUGGCACCUGGCUCGAUGCCCACCCGAUACGAGGAGCUGGGAUGUACUGCACCGGGCUAUGCACAUGCACCCCACGGCAUAACACGGUGCCUGCCCGGUCCCUCUCUCUCUCCGGUAAGCACGGGAAGUUGGCGCAGGUCUCCUACCUGACUCCUACCUGAUCCGUAGGUCGUGGGUGACCCUAUGCUGCCCCACUUCUUGUGUAGUGUUUUCACGUUGAACGAAAACAAAGAGAUUGAGCCCUGAGAUGCCUUGGGCUCGCCUUCUGGGCAGGGUGUGCCUUUGCAUGAAAUCCUGCCUACUCGAAUUACCCUGCUGCCAUGGCCCAGGAGCAGAAGUGUAAGUCAAUUUCAAUAUAACGUUACAGACAUCAAAAACAAACACAGAGCAGACGAAGUCAACAAGCUAGCUAACUUGUUUGCAAAUAAACUGUCCUUGUAUCAGGGACAAAAGAAACAAGCAUCAUUAUUGGUUCUUGGAUCUGAAUCAAUUCAACCUUUAUUUAACCAGGUAGGCCAGUUGAGAACAAGUUCUCAUUUACAACUGCAACCUGGCCAAGAUAAAGCAAAGAAGUUCGACACAAACAAUAACACAGAGUUACACAUGGGAAUAAACAAACAUACAGUCAAUAAUACAAUAGAAAGUACAGUUUGUGCAAAUGAGGUAAGAUUAGGGAGGUAAGGCAAUAAAUAGGCCAUAGUGGCAAAGCAAUUACAAUUUAGCAAUUAAAUACUGGAGUGAUUGAUGUGCAGAAGAUGAAUGUGCAAGUAGAGAUACUGGGGUGCAAAGGAGCAGAAAAUAAAUAACAAUAUGGUGAUGAGGUAGUUGGAUGGGCUAUUUACAGAUUGGCUAUGUACAGGUGCAAGGAUCUGUAAGCUGCUCUGACAGCUGAUGCUUAAAGUUAGUGAGGGAGAUAUGAGUCUCCAGUUUCAGUGAUUUUUGCAAUUUGUUCCAGUCAUUGGCAGCAGAGAACUGGAAGGAAAGACGGCCAAAGGAGGAAUUGGCUUUGGGGGUGACCAGUGAAAUAUAUCUGCUGGAGCGCGUGCUACGGGUGGGUGCUGCUAUGGUGACCAGUGAGCUGAGAGAAGAUGACAAUGUUAGCCAGUUUGACAGGAACCUGAGGUGGUACAAGUUGUGGUUGCGCAAACCCCAACACUGAAAGAGAGGGCAAUGGCCAGCCCCAGCAUCAUAUUUAACACAGCAUCGUGUGGAUGUGAUAGCCAUGGAGGGCCAUGAGUGAGACACUACUACAGGGCAACGGUGCCAAGUUUGGGCUGCUCCAGCGUCCAAUGGUGAUCUUAGGCUUGUGUGCGGCUGCUCGGCCAUGGAAUCCCAUUUCAUGAAGCUCCAGAGGAACAGUUAUUGUGCUGACUUUGCUUCCAGAGGCAGUUCGGAAUUCGGUAGUGAGUGUUGCAACCGAGGACAGACGAUUUUUACGCUCUAUGUGCGCGCUCCCGUUCUGUGAGCUUGUGUGGCCUACAACUUCAUGCCUGAGCCGUUGCUGCUCCUAGACAUUUCCACUUCACAAUAACAGCACUUACAGUUGACUGGGGCCGCUCUAGGGCAGUAAUUUGACGCACUGACUUGUUGGAAAGGUGUCAUCCUAUGACGGUGGCACGUUGAAAGUCACUGAGCUAUUCAGUAAGGCCAUUCUACUACCAAUGCUUGUCUAUGGAGAUUUCAUGGCUGUGUGCUUGAUUUUAUACACCUCUCAGCAUAGGUCUACAUUAUUUUGGAUUUGUGUGCCCAUGCGAACUGUUUUCAGGGCGAAACAUAAUGAAAUGUUACAUAGGCAUAGCUAGACUUACAGUGCAGUUUCCGAGGUCAGAGUUUAAGUUCAAUGUUCUAAUUCAAUAAAUGCUUAAUAAUGACAAAUAAAUAAAUGUCACUAAUGUAAGGAAAGAAAGGUUGUGUUUUAUGUCACAUGAUCUGUGAAGACUACAAACAUUAACUCGUGUUUAUGGACAACUCAUGAACUUGGGUGUAAAAAAUGUUUUGAUUAAACUCAUGUAUUAUAUUAAAUGUAGGCUACCUGUUCUGCGUGUGUUCAUGUGUGUAAAAUUGCCUCUGCUGAGAGAGUAGGGUACUGGCAGUGUUGUAGGCCUAGUCCUUAACCACCUUUUUCAGAAAAAUGCAUUUAGGGUUUAGGCAAUCAGAGUUUACCCAACUUUGUUUUGUUUACCACUACAUCACUGGCUACCAGUAGGCCUAUUUGAAGUUCAUGGUGACGCACAUUGUAGCCUAGUUUAGUAAGUUAAAGGUGUCUGUUAGGGUGACCAUCACUUUCUUCAGUAUAAAACUCAGUUCAAAACUGUUUAAAACAGUCUAAAACCCAGUUCAGAUGUCCCAACUUUUCAGGCUACAAAAAAAGGUAAAUGUGUCAGGCAAUACACAUGAAUUAAUGCAGGCCUAAUCAAUGGAAUGUCAUUUGGGUCACUUUUUUGGUGUUUUGUAACAGAUGUCUUUUACCAUUCAUCAA